rnacentral:tRNA from 1 species
CGGGCUGUAGCGCAGCUUGGCAGCGCGCCUCGUUCGGGACGAGGAGGCCGCAGGUUCAAAUCCUGCCAGCCCGAC